rnacentral:lncRNA from 1 species
CAUUCUUCUAUGUGUGUUUUGGUGAACAUGUGUGUGCAUUUAAUUUGGAUGUAUAUCUAGAAGUAAAUGUCUUAUCAGGGUGUUUGUGUGUGUGUGUGUGUACAUAUAUAUAUAUAUAUAUAUUCUUUUUCUGAGAUGGAGUCUUGCUCUGUCGCCCAGGCUGGAGUGCAGUGGCGUGAUCUCAGCUCACUGCAAGCUCUGCCUCGCGGGUUCACACCAUUCUCUUGCAUCAGCCUCCUGAGUAGCUGGGGCUACAGGCGCCCACCACCAUGCCUGGCUAAUUUUUUGUAUUUUUAGUAGAGGCAGGGUUUCACCGUGUUAGCUAGGAUGGUCUCGAUCUCCUGACCUCAUGAUCCGCCUGCAUCGGCCUCCCAAAGUGCUGAAAUUACAGGUGUGAGCCACCAUGCCCAAUCUUUUUUUUUUUUUUUUUUAAACUCCCCUGUACCCCCACAUCCCCUCGAGUAUGCAUAUUUUCAAACUUGGGUGUUAAACCUAUGGUUUC